GACGAACGCUGGCGGCGUGCUUAACACAUGCAAGUCGAACGGAAAGGCCCUGCUUUUGUGCGGUGCUCGAGUGGCGAACGGGUGAGUAACACGUGAGUAACCUGCCCUUCACUUUGGUAUAACUUCAGGAAACUGGGGCUAAUACCGGAUAGGAUCUCCUGCUCCAUGGUGGGCGUUGGAAAGUUUCGGCUGUUGGGGAUGGACUCGCGGGUUAUGAGCUUGUUGGUGGGGUAGUGGCUUACCAAGGGUGUGACGGGUAGCCGGCCUGAGAGGGUGGCCGGGGACAAGAGGACUAAGGGAGGGAGCAGACGCGAAUGGGAGGCAGCGGUGGGAAGUAUGACACAGCGAGCGGGAGCCUGAGGCAGCGGCGCCGGGUGCGGGAUGACCGCCUUCGGGUUAAGAACAGCUUUCGCCUGUGACGAAGCGGGAGUGACGGUAAUGAAUAAAGAAGCACCGGCUAACUACGUG
rnacentral:rRNA from 1 species